CCGGUUGGAAAGGUGCAACUGCACCGCAGAUGGAGGAGCCCGCGGCGCAUUAGCUAGUUGGUGGGGUAACGGCUCACCAAGGCAACGAUGCGUAGCCGACCUGAGAGGGUGACCGGCCACACUGGGACUGAGACACGGCCCAGACUCCUACGGGAGGCAGCAGUAGGGAAUCUUCCACAAUGGGCGCAAGCCUGAUGGAGCAACGCCGCGUGAGUGAAGACGGCCUUCGGGUUGUAAAGCUCAGUCACUCGGGAAGAGCGGACGAGGGAGUGGAAAGCCCUCGUCGAGACGGUACCGAGAGAGGAAGCCCCGGCUAACUACGUG
rnacentral:rRNA from 1 species